rnacentral:rRNA from 1 species
AUGAACGCUAGCGGGAGGCCUAACACAUGCAAGCCGAGCGGUAGAGAUCUUUCGGGAUCUUGAGAGCGGCGUACGGGUGCGGAACACGUGUGCAACCUGCCUUUAUCAGGGGGAUAGCCUUUCGAAAGGAAGAUUAAUACCCCAUAAUAUUUAGAAUGGCAUCAUUUUAAAUUGAAAACUCCGGUGGAUAGAGAUGGGCACGCGCAAGAUUAGAUAGUUGGUGAGGUAACGGCUCACCAAGUCUACGAUCUUUAGGGGGCCUGAGAGGGUGAUCCCCCACACUGGUACUGAGACACGGACCAGACUCCUACGGGAGGCAGCAGUGAGGAAUAUUGGACAAUGGGUGCGAGCCUGAUCCAGCCAUCCCGCGUGAAGGAUGACGGCCCUAUGGGUUGUAAACUUCUUUUGUAUAGGGAUAAACCUAGAUACGUGUAUCUAGCUGAAGGUACUAUACGAAUAAGCACCGGCUUAACUCCGUGCCAGCAGCCGCGGUAAUACGGAGGGUGCAAGCGUUAUCCGGAUUUAUUGGGUUUAAAGGGUCCGUAGGCGGAUCUGUAAGUCAGUGGUGAAAUCUCACAGCUUAACUGUGAAACUGCCAUUGAUACUGCAGGUCUUGAGUGUUGUUGAAGUAGCUGGAAUAAGUAGUGUAGCGGUGAAAUGCAUAGAUAUUACUUAGAACACCAAUUGGCGAAGGCAGGUUACUAAGCAACAACUGACGCUGAUGGACGAAAGCGUGGGGAGCGAACAGGAUUAGAUACCCUGGUAGUCCACGCCGUAAACGAUGCUAACUCGUUUUUGGAGCGCAAGCUUCAGAGACUAAGCGAAAGUGAUAAGUUAGCCACCUGGGGAGUACGAACGCAAGUUUGAAACUCAAAGGAAUUGACGGGGGCCCGCACAAGCGGUGGAUUAUGUGGUUUAAUUCGAUGAUACGCGAGGAACCUUACCAAGGCUUAAAUGGGAAAUGACAGGCUUAGAAAUAGGCUUUUCUUCGGACAUUUUUCAAGGUGCUGCAUGGUUGUCGUCAGCUCGUGCCGUGAGGUGUUAGGUUAAGUCCUGCAACGAGCGCAACCCCUGUCACUAGUUGCCAUCAUUAAGUUGGGGACUCUAGUGAGACUGCCUACGCAAGUAGAGAGGAAGGUGGGGAUGACGUCAAAUCAUCACGGCCCUUACGCCUUGGGCCACACACGUAAUACAAUGGCCGGUACAGAGGGCAGCUACACAGCGAUGUGAUGCAAAUCUCGAAAGCCGGUCUCAGUUCGGAUUGGAGUCUGCAACUCGACUCUAUGAAGCUGGAAUCGCUAGUAAUCGCGCAUCAGCCAUGGCGCGGUGAAUACGUUCCCGGGCCUUGUACUCACCGCC